AAGAGAAUGAGAUCAAGUAAUAAUGAUGUUUUGGCUUAUAUUUAUAAAAAGAAAAAAGAUAGUGAUGCUUUAGGUUCCACUGUGUCUGCUGCAUGAAUAUAGAGUGGUUAUAUUUUAAUAAAGAUCUUUGUCUGCUAGUUUGAAUGCCAUACUUUCUGAUCUGUAUUAUGCUGAUAAAAUUAUUCGAGUUAUGCAUUCUUUGGCCUAACAUUUGUAAUAGAGGUUUUGACUAGGCUGCAGACUUAAUCCUGCUACAGCAGCUCUAGUGCCUCGUAGUUAACCAGCACAAAAUGGUCUAUGCUAUACCAAUUAGAUUUAGGUUAAAGGCAGCAUUAAGCAUGGACUUAAUCCUGCUACAGCAGCUCUAAUGCCUCGUAUUUAAUCAGCACAAAAUGGUCUAUGCUAUACUAAUUAGAUUUAGGUUAAAGGCAGCAUUAAGCAUGAGUUGUAACACCAUGCUCUGAAUUACAGGAAUUGUUUGUCAUUUGGAAUUUUGGACAACUUAAAUGCAUUUUGAUGAUCUAUUGCCUUUAUCCUGUUAGAAAAUCUUAUCAUAUCCAUAGGUAGGACAUACUUCUGUAGCGUUUAGCAUUUUUCUUCAACAAGUAUAUCUGAUUCAUUGAAUAAAAGAAAGGUCGAAUGUUUUUAGAGGCUUUAGAUGAUUUUAGUACUUUGUAGCGGGGCGUUAUGAUGGUAAGCAACCCCCACUUCUAACCGAGAGAUUGUGAGUUCGAGUCUCCCCAAGAGCAAGGUGAGAAGUUAUUGGAGGGAAGGAUGUCGGGGGUCUAUUUGGAAACAGCCUCUCUACCUCAGGGUAGGGCUAAGGUCUGCGUACCCCAGAUCCUACUAAGUGAGAUUAUACUGGGUUGUUGGUGUUGUUGUUGUUGUUCUUUGCACAAAUCUUUUAGUUUAUUUCUAUAAUCUCCUCAAACUUGAACUUAAUCAAGUUAAAUCUUGUAAUUUUGGGUGUACAUAUACGUACUAUAAAUGGGUUGUUCUUAGCCUUAUGAAAGGCACACUUGAAGUGAAUAAAAUACUUUACCUCUUUCAAUUCUUGUUGUAUCUCAAUAGCAAUAGUCUUGUAGCUAAGAGUACUCGGGCCUUUACCAGCUGAGCUACCCGUCAGGGUUAUACUUCCCAACUGAUAUAUACAUACUCUGGCACUAAUUGAUAAAACAAAACCUUCUGUAGUCUGUUCAAAUUUUACAUCCUUAUUCAUGUGCUGGCUAUUGUUUGUUUAUAUUUGACACCAAUAGUUUCCUAGUGCAUAUACUCGAUUUAAGGUUAGUAAAGAACUAGAAAUUAGUCCUUUCAUAAAUGAUCUCAGCAAGUGAACUAGCAAAAAAUAUUGGUUUCAUCAUCUCCUGAACUUUGAAAUGCUGGU
rnacentral:lncRNA from 1 species